CAAUGCUGAUAUCCGAUGAUUUAAGGAUUGCUGAUCCUUGUCUUUUUCAGCUUUUUCCUGGAUUCACUAAUUUUUGUGCAUAUCCAAAAGAUGGUCGGCUACUUCCCCUUGCCGAGCAAAGAGAUCCUAUAGUGUUGGCCAAUGAGUUUGUCUGGGAAACUUUAUUGUUUGAUAAUUAUGCCUACACAGGUGACAUGACCGUGAGAGAACCUCUCUACAUUUGCAACGUAUGCAAUACUUAUUACGAAAUAUUUGACGAAUUCUUCACUCAUCUCAAGAGUGAAGAACACAGAACGCAGUUGUUUGAUUGUGUGCCCCUCGACGACCACAAGAACCCUAAACAUUUUUGCCAAGUUUGCAAUUAUCUCGCCUUCGACAAUUAUAACUUGCUCCUCCAUACCAAAAGUGAAGAACAUAAUCGGAAGGCUCAAGAAGAGGAUUGCAAGAGCAGGAAGAGAAGUCCACAAUUGGAUCUCGUUGGCCAGAGAAACAAGAU